CAGUAGCCACGGGAAUACGUAGGUGGCAAGCGUUGUCCGGAAUUAUUGGGCGUGGAGGGCUCGCAGGCGGUUUCUUAAGUCUGAUGUGAAAGCCCCCGGCUCAACCGGGGAGGGUCAUUGGAAACUGGGAAACUUGAGUGCAGAAGGGGAGAGUGGAAUUCCACGUGUAGCGGUGAAAUGCGUAGAGAUGUGGAGGAACACCAGUGGCGAAGGCGACUCUCUGGUCUGUAACUGACGCUGAGGAGCGAAAGCGUGGGGAGCGAACAGGAUUAGAUACCCCUGUAGUCCCUGUCUCUUAUAC
rnacentral:rRNA from 1 species